CCUACGGGUGGCAGCAGUGAGGAAUAUUGGUCAAUGGGCGAGAGCCUGAACCAGCCAAGUCGCGGGAAGGAUGAAGGAUCGAUGGUUGGUAAACUUCGGUUAUAGGGGAAUAAAGUGAGGAACGUGUUCCUUUUUGUAUGUACCAUAUGAAUAAGCAUAGGCUAACUCCGUGCCAGCAGCCGCGGUAAUACGGAGGAUGCGAGCUUUAUCCGGAUUUAGUGGGUUUAAAGGGUGCGUAGGUGGUUAAUUAAGUCAGCGGUGAAAGUUUGUGGCUCAACCAUAAAAUUGCCGUUGAAACGUGUUGACUUGAUUAUAUUUGAGGUAGGCGGCAUGCGUUUUGUAGCGG
rnacentral:rRNA from 1 species